UGAGGGGCCGUGGAGGUAUCGGAAGUGCGAAUGAUGACAUGAGUAGCGACAAACAGGGUGAGAGACCCUGUCGCCGAAAGUCCAAGGGUUCCUGCUUAAAGCUAAUCUGAGCAGGGUAAGCCGACCCCUAAGGCGAGGCCGAAAGGCGUAGUCGAUGGGAACCAGGUUAAUAUUCCUGGGCCAGCGGGUAGUGACGGAUUGCGGACGUUGUACACUCUUACUGGAUUGAGUGUGCAGCCAAGCCGUCCCUGGAAAUAGCUCCCGCAUGAGACCGUACCCCAAACCGACACAGGUGGACUGGUAGAGCAUACCAAGGCGCUUGAGAGAACUCUGUUGAAGGAACUCGGCAAAUUACUCCCGUAAGUUCGCGAGAAGGGAGCCUGGCAUUAGGCAACUGGUGUCCAGGGGCACAGACCAGGGGGUGGCGACUGUUUAUUAAAAACACAGGGCUCUGCGAAGCCGCGCAAGACGACGUAUAGGGUCUGACGCCUGCCCGGUGCCGGAAGGUUAA
rnacentral:rRNA from 1 species